GUGGUCAGCUCUUGUGCCAAUGUGGAUGCAAGACAGAGACCGUUUGGAGUCUCCAUGGCUACAAGGAUCAUCAACAUGUGAUGGGCAGAACCACAGAAACCAAGGGAAGCUACACCAGUGUACCAUCAACUCCACUCCCAUGGUCGUGUCAUGGAACACAGUCGGGAAGAAUCGGGAGUUUAGGAUGACUUCCAAAAUUUCCUGGGGGAAGGACCUGGAACACGCUACUCAGUGCGGUCAACUCUUGUGCCAAUGUGGAUGAAAGACAGAGACCGUUGGAGUCUCCAUGGCUACAAGGAUCAUCAACAUGUGAUGGGCAGAACCACAGAAUCC